rnacentral:rRNA from 1 species
UUCUUUAAAAUUAAAGAAUUUGGCGGUAUUUUAGUCUGUUCAGAGGAACCUGUUUCUUAAUUGAUAAUCCACGAUAAUUAUUACUUAAACUUUAAAUUUACAUAUCGUCGUUAAUAAAAAUUUUAGGAUUUAAUUUUUUCAGAUCAAGGUGUAGUUUAUGUUUAAGAUUAAAUGGGUUACAUUAAGAAACUUGAAUAAAAUGGAUUUGAGAGUAAGCUCUAAAAUAUGCACAUAUCGCCCGUCGCUUUCACUUUAAAGUGAAAUAAGUCGUAACAGAGUAGGCUUAUUGGAAAAUGAGCCUAGAAUGCAAAUUAGAGCUUGAUAAGCAUUUUAUUUACAUUAAAAAGUUAGUUGUUAAAUUCAACUUAAUUUGAAUUUAACUCAUUAUUUAGCUUAUUUGAUCUUUUUUUUUAAAAGAAGAAUAUUAAUUUUUAUUAAUUAUUUGAAUAAAUGUUAUGAUAGUUUAUAGUAUUGUGAAAGAACUUUCUUAAUUUAUAAAAGAAAAUUUUGUUUGUUGUACCUUGUGUCUCAGGGUUUAUUAAUUUAAAGUUCCCGAUUCUAGAAGAGUUAAUUUUACUGUAGAAAUAGUAUUUAAAACUUCUUUUUUGUAAUGAAAUGUUAGUCGUUUCUAGAUAUAUCUGGUUUUUCAAGAAAUUAAUUUAAUUGAUAAUUAGUAAUUUUAUUAUUAGGGGAUAAGCUUUUAGAUUUAUUUUUACAAAUAUUUUAUUUAAUUGAAUUAGUAGGAUUAGAAUUUUUCAUCUUUAUGAUUAUGUUAUAAUUAUUUUAGUUUCUUUAUUGAAAUUCUUGAUUUAUUAUUUAUUUCAAGGUAAAUAUGAUAGAAUUAGUAAGGUUAAUUUAAGGAACUCGGCAAUUUUAAUUUUCACCUGUUUAUUAAAAACAUGUCCUUUUGAAUAUGAUUUAAGGUCUAACCUGCCCAAUGAUUAAAUGGCCGCAGUAUUUUGACUGUGCAAAGGUAGCAUAAUCAUUAGUUUCUUAAUUGGAAGCUGGUAUGAAUGGUUUGAUGAAAAAUUAACUGUCUCUAGAAUUUUAUUUUUAAGUGAAAAAGCUUAAAUUUUUUACAAAGACGAGAAGACCCUAUAGAGUUUUUUUGUUGGGGUGAUAUAAAAACUUAAUUAACUUUUUUUUUUAAUGACUGCUUGAUCCUAGAUUAAAAGAUAAAAUUACCUUAGGGAUAACAGCGUAAUUUUUUUGGAAAGUUCCUAUUG